rfam:Chelonia mydas contig215284, whole genome shotgun sequence.
ACAAAGGCUCUUUUAAGAGCCACCCAUAUUUUCACAAUAAGAGUUG